rnacentral:misc_RNA from 1 species
UGGCGGGUGAGAGAGAUACGG